rnacentral:lncRNA from 1 species
UCUCCUACUACGAUUGUAUUCUCAUCAAUUUCCCCUUUUAUGUCUGUUAGUAUUUGUUGUAGGUAUCUCAGUGCUCCUAUAUUAGGGACAUAUAUAUUGACGAUUGUAAUACCCUCUUCUUGAAUGGAUCCUUUACCAUUAAAUAGUGUCCUUCUUUGUCUUUCUUAAUGGCCUUCAUUUUAAAACCUAUUUUGUCUGAUGUGAGUAUUGCUACUGCUGCUUUCCUGUCAUGUCCAUUGGCAUGAAAUAUCUUUUCCCAUCUCCUCACUUUCAAUCUAUAUGUGUUCUUUGCCCUAAGAUGAGUUUCUUAUAAGCGGCAUGUUGAAGGUUUUUGCUUUUUUAUCCAAUCCGCCACUCAGUGUCUUUUGAUUGGAGCAUUCAGUCCAUUGACAUUUAAGGUGAUUAUUGAUAGAUAAGGUUUAAAAUGGCAAUAAAUACAUGUUUUCCAGUUGAUUCUGUUUCUCUUUUCUUCUUUUCUUUUUUUGGUUGGAUGGUUUCCAUUUAUUUUAUGCUUGAGUACUUUUCUUUUCAGUUUUUGUGAAUGUAAUGGUUGGUUUUGAUUUGUGGUUGCCCUGUUUUUUAAGUAUGUUAUCCCCUUCCUAUAUCUUGCUUUAGCCUGAUAGUCAUAUAGGCUCAAACACAUCAUUAAAAUAAAAAAAGAAUCUAUAUUUUCUUACUUUCCUUCCCCACAUUGUACGAUUUUGAUGUCUUUUUUUUUUUUAACAUCUUCAUGUUUAGAUCUGUAUGCUGGUUUAUUUAAGUGAUUGGUUUCCAAUUGUGGUUUCCUCCUUCCUAAUUCUCCUUUUUCUCUUUUCUCUCUUUUUUAACUUAGAGAAUCCCUUUCAGUAUUUCUUUUAGAAUGGGUUUAGUAUUGCUGUACUCUUUUAGGUUUUGUUUGUUGGAGAAAUUCUUUAGUUCCCCUUCUAAUUUAAAUGAUAUUCUUGAUGGAUAGAAUAUUCUAGGUUCCAAAUUUUUUCCUUUCAGCACUUUAAAUAUAUCUUGCCACUCCCUUCUGGCCGGCAGUGUUUCUAUAGAGAAGUCAGCUGAUAGCCUUAUGGGGAAUUCCCUUAAAAUGAUAACACUUUGCUUUUCUCUUGCUGCUUUUAGAAUCUGCUCUUUAACUUUUGCCAUUUUUCUUAUAGUAUGUCUUGGUGUGGGCCUGUUUGGGUUCAGCUUGUUUGGGGCCCUCUAUGAUUCCUGUAUCUUGAUAUCUGUAUGCUUUAGAUUUGGCAAGUUUUCAGCCAUAGUUUCUUCAAAUAUAUUUUCAAUCCCCUUUUCUUCUGGAAUUCCUAUUAUGUGUAGAUUGGCCCACUUUAUAUUAUCCCAUAGGUCUCAUAUUGGUUCAUGUUUUUUCAUUUGGUUUCUGUCUGCUCUCCUGAUUGGGUGAUUUCCAUUAUUUUAUCUUCCAUGUCACUAAUUCGUUCCUCUGCAUUAUUCAUUCUGGUCUUUAUUGCCUUUAGCUCAGUUUGUAUCUCUGCAAAUGAAUUUUCUAGCUUUUCCUGGCUCCUCCUUGUAUCUUCCAGUUCCUUUCUAAAGGAAUCAGCAUUACUGUUCAUAUCAUCUCUUAAUUCCUUCAGUAUUUUCACUAUCUCCCUUUUGAAUUCAAUGGUCUGUCAGACUGCAGGGUUCUGUUUGAUUGUUGACUGCUUUAGGUGAACUCUCCCGUUUUAACUGGGAAUGGUUUCUGAGCUUCUUCAUGUUGCUUUCAUUUUUCUGUGAGUUUGGGGAAGCCAAACUAGUCUUGUAAGCUUACUUCUAUGCAAGAAUAACCCUUUGCAUUUUUGUGGGGGUUAUUAUUUAUUUUUGGUGUGGGAUUUUGAAUAUUUUCUGUCUCUUUCUUCAGUGGGAGCAGGCUGUUAUCCCCAGGAUGUUCAGUGUGUUUUCAGGGAGAAGGAGGCAAUGGGUAGGCCAGAAGUCAGUGCCUGGUCAUUGGGCUCUCAACAGCAGGAAGGUGGUACAGGCAGAUCUAGUUGCAGGGCCCUGGGAAGUGGUAAUAAGCUCCAGGCAGAUCUUCAAGGUGACUAGAGCAUUUGGCAGUAGCAACAGUAGGGUGUAUGUGUUCCCAGGGGAGUAAGAGCAACAACAGCUUGUGUUUGAUUGCAAUGCCCUCCUUUGAGGUUAUUGGAACUGCAGGUGGUGCCUGUUCAGGGACCCUUAUGGCGAGCAGGCUAUGACCAUCUCUAGAGUCAGUGAUAACCACGGUGUUUUGCCCCCGCCACCUGUAGACCAGGCAUGAAAAAACCCGUCUCACUAAGCCCACAUAUGAGGUGUUGUAAAGGGUUCUCCUAGCUGCAGGAUCCUGGAAAGUGACAGAGAUCAGGCAUGUGGGUUCUGCCUGGAACGUUUGGCAGUGGCAGCAGCAGGGCAGGUGUGUUCCCUGGGUGCGAGAGCACCAACAGGUGGUGUUUGGUCACAAUGCCCUCCUCUGUGGUGCCCUGUAGGUGAAUGGGGCUGCAAGUGAUUUUUGUUCAGAUAUCUCCAAUGGCAGUGGGCCACAGCCAUGCCCACUUCUGGAAUCAGGGAUAACUGCAGCGGUUUGUCCCUGCUUCCUGCGGACCACAUAAGAAGCACCCUGUCCUACUUAGCCCAUGCAGGAGGUGCUGUACCAGUUGUUCCUAGUUGUAGGGUCUUGGGAAUGUACAGUGACCAAGUGUCUGAGGGUCACCCAGAGCAUUUGGCAGUGGCAGCUGCAGGAUGGGUGUGUUCCUAGGGGAGUGAGAACAACAGCGUAUGGUGCUUGGUUGUAAUGCCCUCUUUUUUUUCAUUUUUGGCAACCCAUGAGGUAAGUGGGGGCACUGGUGGAGCCCACUCAUAGCACCCCAGUAGUGGCAAGCCAUGCCUCCCUCUGGUCUCUGAGACAACCACCGCAGUCUGUCCCUGCCACCUGUGGAUCAUGCAAGAGGCACCACAUUGCACUUAGCCUCCUGAUGCCCUUAGCCCGCACAAUAAGUGCCUAGCCACUAGUAGCCUGCACAAGAAGCCCUGGACAAGAAGCACCUAAUCUCCCUUAAAUGAGCAAGAGGCUUCUCACUGCCCAUAGCUUCCACAGAUCCGCCCCUCCCUCUAAGCCUGGGGGCAUGUGCACACUCCAGCACAGGGAGUUUCCUAUAGCAGCCCACCCUUCCUUCUUUCCCCUCCCCAACAAUGGAGCCUUGCUUCUGCGGAUCCGGACCUUCUCCCAGGUUCCCUCUACUGUGGUAUUCCCCUCCUUAGCCCAUGGCGCACUGCUCCUUAGCCCCUCAUGCCCUUCCCAGUUCUCUCCCCAGGACUGACCUCUGGAGCCUGAGUCUCAGCACCCAGCCCCCACCCAAGCAUCUCAGGCUGUGGAGUUUGGGCCAGUGGUUCAGAUGAUCUGUGCGGCUCUCACUCUGCUUUGCUAUUCUCCGUCCAGCUGCUAUGCUUUUCUCAGCGACUUUGAGGUCCCACAAACUCAGCCUAUUUUUCAUCAGUUAGGUGGCUUCCCAGGAGGUAGGUUCCUUUUCUCCUUCACUGCUCCCUCUCAGGAAUGCUAGUCCUGUCCUGAUUCCUUUUCUCUCUCUCUUUUUCUUUUGUUCUACCCAGUCAUGUCAAGAGUUUCUUGUACUUUUUGGAGGUUUAAGUUCUUCUGCCAGCAUUCAGUUGAUGUUCUGUGAGAGCAGUUUUACAUGUAAAUGUGUUUUUUGAUGUGUUUGCCCCAUCUUGCUCUGCCCGCCCCUCACCAAAUUUUUAAAAAGUGCUUCUUGACUAGCACAGGGCCUCAAUUCCACCUGUCAAUAAUAAUUGGAUAUGAUUUAGAUGAUAUACUUACUCUAUCUGCAGUAUAUUAAUACUUGAAAUAGUGUCCUCUUGAUGGACUUCAAAUGAGCCAAAACUAAUCACUAAAAACAAAGACCUGGGAUACAAGCAGCUUAACCAGAAUCAAAGCUUUUGUUUGUUUUGUUUUGUAAAUUAGCUUCAGUAAGUUAUAUGGGAGAAAUGACAACAGAAUGCCCAAGAAAAGGAACACAAGGUAUAGAGUGCUAGGAAGGAGAAACCACAUAAGGUAGAAUAUUGUAGGGGGUACUAUAUCCUAACUGACUGGAUAAGAUUGUGGACAAACAUUUAUUCAUUCAUCCAUGACUAUCUUCUCAUAUUUCCAAGUUCUUGAUACAAACAACCAGAGAGUGUUUCCUAGUCCUCAAAGUGAGAAGAAUAUUAUGUAGAAACAGAAAGCUUAGAAGAACCCCACAAGAGAUAUAGGCAGAAAUGCAAAUAUCACAGGCAAAUAAGAAAGCCAACAAUCCUUUCAGACAUGUGGUUUUUUUUGGAUUUGUUCAUCUUAAUCCACACAAUGCCAAUAACCCUUUUUGAGAAAAUUGCCCCACCUGAAGCUCUAGCCAGUACAAGCCAGCCAUGUGUCUUCAUUCUUUCCCCAAGCCAUGGCCACUUAGGCCAUAGUUGUAUGAGUUGAUCUGGCAGACAAACUGGGCAAUUUGUGAAGAGAGCUGAAAAAUGGCUUCCCACAAAUGCACCAAAUACGUCUAUGCAGAGGCUGAAACUAAGAAAACUGAAGCUUCGAGCUAGAGCAAACACUAAGAUUAAAGGUGUGUGGGGAAAGACAACACGUAAACAAGGAGAGCAUAACUAGACAUCGUCCUUAAAGAUGGAGUAGUAGUGUGGUGAUCCACAUACUCUUGUGCAAAUGUCCAUCAAGGGGACCCGAACCCAGAACCAGUUAUAGUGAUUUUCUGGUUCUGCUAUAUUUCUUGUCCUUCCAAUGAGAACUCUGUCCUCUUUUGAACAGUAUCUUCAUCUUCUUCUCUUGAACAAACCAGUAAGUCCUAUUUCCACACAUUAAAGGAAUCUCACUAAACUGCUUGUUCCAAUAGCGACACCACCAAGAACAUUAGCUUUGAAUAUUCCUCUAAUUCUUUUUUUCCACUCUACCAUACCAGAUAUUUUUUGUUUCUAUCAUACUUAGGCAGAACCCAUAAUCUCAUUUAUAUAUAACUGAUGCUCCUCUAAGAAUUACACUAUAUUUAAUGACAAGGUAGGAGAUUUUUCCACUUUGAGUUAUUAAAGGAGAUCUUUAUUCCUGCUAAGCAAGCUGACAUGUUUCCACUUUCCUUUCCAUAUACUUUCUCCUCUUGAUCUUUAUCUGAAGUGUUCAUUUCCCUUGCUCAAGUCAACUUGAUGUUUCUUUUUUUUUUAAGAAACCUUCAAGUUAACUGAGAAUGAAGCUAAUUAAUUAGCAUGCUUGAUUCUAGAUCUUUAGUUUCUACAAGGAAAUAUAACUGGUGUUGAUAUAUAAAGAGGUAGAUAUAUUAACAACCUUUAUGUGCUGUUGAAUCCUUUUAUAUUAAUUACUACUCUGCCUUAUGUUUUAUUCAUAUAUGAAAACUGUUUACAUUAGCACAUAUUUUCCCAAUAAAAUUAUAAAUAAUGAAAUAUAGGAAUGCCUUAUUUUACAAAAUAAAACCUAUUGCUCCAUUAACUUGUUUUUCUCCAAGUUAGUAGUUAACAGUAAUACUUAAAACACUCUAGCUAUUUUCAAAAUAAAGUCAUACAAAUAUGCACUAAAAACAUUCAAAAUGUUGUUGCAACAUAAUAAGAAUUGCAAAUUUGUUAUUUUAAAAGCCAACUAAUAGUCUUCUAAGAAACAUUUUUAGAAUUUGUGGUCCUGAGGUGAGGAAAUAUUUGUGCAGAAUAUCAUUUAGAAAGCAAGUAAUGUGCAUACAAGUGCCCUAUAAACUGUAAAGUGCUGUAGAAAUGUAAGAGAUCAAGCUAUAUCUCUUUUUCUGGAGACAUGAUUGUAAAAGCACAGGAAUGAAGAGCCUGUGAGAGCCUAAAUAUUCAUCACU